UAGCCGUCACUCCCCAUUUCGUUUUCACUCAAACACACACACUCUCUCUCUCCCCUCCGCUGCUUUCUUCCUAUCUGGUCUCUGCUUCCUCAGUCUUCUCUCUCUCUCUCCUUCCUCUCUUCCUCCAAAUCACUCGCCCCUUUCGAAUCGGAAGUCUCUCAUCUCGCCGCAACUUCUUCUUGCCGUUUCGAGUCUCGACAGCAAAAGAGAUGAAGGUGGUUGUUGCAUACUUGUUGGCUGUGUUGGGCGGCAAGACCACCCCCAUUGCCGAAGACAUCAAGGACAUCCUUGGCUUCGGUAACUUUCCUUUUACCUUUUUGUGGUUUCUGUUUAUAACCCUAAUUUAUUAAGCGUCGUUCGUGCCUCCCUGAGAGAGAAGGGAGGAAGAAGAAGGCGGAUGCAAUUGCAGAAGCAGCAAACCUAAUGGAAAUGGAAAGCUCUGAAAAGAAGAUGACAUCUGAAAAUUCCUCCUCACCGAAGCCAAAUUUCGAAGAUCCUAUGAAGCUGAACCCCUCUCGCACUUGGUAUCACUUCUCUCUCUCAAAAUACAAUUUGGAAGCACACAUAUCCAUUUUUUUUGUUAUCUCUACCUUUCAUAUUUUCAAUUAAUUUUAUGCAAGGGUCCAAAAGACGGUAGUAUCACUUUAAACCCUAACACUAAGUAUUCAUCACACUAAACCCUCUAGGACAGUGGUGUAUUAGAAUAGGAAUGCGAUUACUAUAUCUAUAUUCUAUUUCUUGCUUAAUUGUAUUUCCUAUUGUAAACAGGGCAAGAGUUAUUGUUUUCCUUACCUUACUAGGA